rnacentral:rRNA from 1 species
GAUGAACGCUAGCGAUAGGCUUAACACAUGCAAGUCGAGGGGUAACGUGUUGGAAGCUUGCUUCCGAUGACGACGACCGGCGGAUGGGUGCGUAACGCGUAUGCAACUUGCCUCACAGUGGAGAAUAACCCGGAGAAAUCCGGACUAAUACUCCAUACACUCUUAAGUACGCCUGUACAUGAGAGGAAAGAUUUAUCGCUGUGAGAUAGGCAUGCGUCCUAUUAGGUAGUUGGUGAGGUAACGGCUCACCAAGCCGACGAUAGGUAGGGGUGCUGAGAGGCAGAUCCCCCACAUUGGGACUGAGACACGGCCCAAACUCCUACGGGAGGCAGCAGUGAGGAAUAUUGGUCAAUGGAGGAAACUCUGAACCAGCCAAGUCGCGUGAAGGAAGAAUGGCCUAAGGAUUGUAAACUUCUUUAGCGAGCGAGUAAGGACUUCCACGUGAUGGGAGUUUGAAAGUAGCUCGAGAAUAAGUAUCGGCUAACUCCGUG